UACGUAGGGUGCGAGCGUUGUCCGGAAUUAUUGGGCGUAAAGAGCUCGUAGGCGGUGUGUCACGUCGGCCGUGAAAACCUGCAGCUUAACUGUGGGCGUGCGGUCGAUACGGGCAUCACUGGAGUUCGGCAGGGGAGACUGGAAUUCCUGGUGUAGCGGUGAAAUGCGCAGAUAUCAGGAGGAACACCGGUGGCGAAGGCAGGUCUCUGGGCAUUAACUGACGCUGAGGAGCGAAAGCAUGGGGAGCGAACAGG
rnacentral:rRNA from 1 species